GCGGGAAGUGGCAUACUGCUCAGUAACACGUAGCUAACCUAACCUCAAGACGGAAAUAACCCCGGGAAACUGGGGUCAAUGUCCGAUAGAUGUGAAUUCCUGGAAUGGUAUCACAUCCAUAUGUCAGUACACCAUGUUGUACGAACGCUUGAGGAUGGGGCUGCGGCCGAUCAGGCUGUUGGUGGGGUAAUGGCCCACCAAACCUUUGACCGGUAUGGGCCAUGAGAGUGGUAGCCCAGAGAUGGACACUGAGACAAGGGUCCAGGCCCUACGGGGCGCAGCCGGUACGAAACCUCCACAAUGCACGCAAGUGCGAUGGGGUUAUCUCGAGUGCUACCUGAAGAAGGUAGCUUUUCCAUGGUCUAAAUAGCCGUGGGAAUAAGGGGGGGGCAAGACUGGUGUCAGCCGCCGCGGUAACACCAGCCCCCCGAGUGGUAGGGAUGUUUAUUUGGCCUAAAGCGUCCGUAGCCGGCUAUGUAAAUUUCUCGUUAAAUCCAACGUCCUUAGCGUUGGGCUGCGAAAAAGACUGCCAAGCUAGAGGGUGGGAGAGGUCAGCGGUAUUCCUGGGGUAGGGGCGAAAUCCAUUGAACCCAGGAGGACCACCAGUGGCGAAGGCUGCUGACUAGAACACGCCUGACGGUGAGGGACGAAAGCUGGGGUAGCGAAUCGGAUUAGAUACCCGAGUAGUCCCAGCUGUAAACGAUGCAGACUAGGUGUUGGGUUGGCCACGCGCCGACUCAGUGCCACAGGGAAGCCAUUAAGUCUGCCGCCUGGGAAGUACGGCCGCAAGGCUGAAACUUAAAGGAAUUGGCGGGGGAGCACCACCAGGCGUGAAGCCUGCGGUUUAAUUGGAGUCAACGCCGGGAACCUUACCGGGAGCGACAGCAGAGUGAAGGCCAGGCUAAAGGUCUUGCCAGACGAGCUGAGAGGAGGUGCAUGGCCGUCGCCAGUUCGUGCCGUGAGGUGUCCUCUUAAGUGAGGUAACGAACGAGACCCGCGCCGCAUGUUGCUAACAAGUCCUAAAGGGAUGUUGAGCACUCUUGCGGGACCGCAGCCGACAAGGCUGAGGAAGGUGCGGGCAACGGCAGGUCAGUAUGCCCCGAAUCUCCCGGGCCACACGCGGGCUGCAAUGGUAGAGACAGAGGGCUGCAACCCCGAAAGGGGAAGCCAAUCCCUAAACUCUACCUCAGUUGGGAUUGAG
rnacentral:rRNA from 1 species